CGAUCUUAAAAUAAAUCAAUAUUGAAUUUUUUAUAGAGCGUUAAAGUUGUGCGAAGCCAGGGGGCGGGGCUACUUGAUUGACAGUCUGGUCUGGAAUGAUUGACAGGUCCUCUGGAGGAGGCAGCAGAGACUCUGCUCUCCUCGUUUGGAUUAAUUCUGAUAUAAUAACUGUUGGUUUAUUUAUCGGUGGAGCAGCAGAACCUUUUCCACAGACAGUUUUCCUGCCCGUUGGCUUGUUUUAACCAGUUUUCUGCCUUCGGCUGAUUCUACCAGCAGACACUGAAAGGACUCUGAUAGUUCGAGUGAAAGUAGCAGUUCCUCCUGAAGAUCAGAGAUUGCAGCAUCUGAGGGCCUCUUCAAAAGAAGACGUAGUUGAUGAAGGCGUUCUGGAGCAGGACCAGAAAGACCACGACCAAGCAGCCUUGAGAUCUUAGGCAGCGUCUCCCUCAGGUGGCCACCAACCACUGGAACACAUCUCCAAAGUUCUGCUGGACCAGCUCAGCUUCCCCUCAGAAGAAGUGGCGCCACCUGCCAGAUGAAGGAGCCUUUUGAGAGGCAGCUGGCAUCGUGAUUGGACUGUACUUUGGUCUGUUCCAAUCCAGCUUCAGCUCCAGAGACGGCAGGCGGGACGAGUCAACGGAGGC
ensembl:lncRNA